rnacentral:rRNA from 1 species
CCUACGGGAGGCAGCAGUGAGGAAUAUUGGUCAAUGGGCGGAAGCCUGAACCAGCCAAGUAGCGUGCAGGAUGAAGGCCCUACGGGUUGUAAACUGCUUUUAUGCGGGAGUAACGCGCCUUGCGUGUAGGGCUUUUCAUGUACCGUAUGAAUAAGGACCGGCUAAUCCCGUGCCAGCCGCCCCGGUAAUACGGGAGGUCCGGGCGUUAUCCGGAUUUAUUUGGUUUAAAGGGAGCGUAGGCCGCAUGUCAAGCGUGCUGUGAAAUGUACGGGCUCAACCCGGGCCGUGCAGCGCGUACUGGCGUGCUUGAGUCCGCGGAAGGCAGGUGGAAGUCGUGGUGUAGCGGUGAAAUGCUUAGAUAUGACGAAGAACCCCGAUUGCGAAGGCAGCUUGCUGGAGCGGAACUGACGCUGAGGCGCGAAAGCGCGGGUAUCGAACAGGAUUAGAUACCCUUGUAGUC